AUGCAAGUCUGCCAAAGUUCCUGGCCAAAUAAAGCUCCUUCCUUCUUUAACCUAGUGUCUGAGGAGUUUUGUCUGUGGCUCAUCCUGCUACAUUUCUUGGUUCCCUGGUUCCCUGACUUGGAAGUGAGGUGAUUGGCAGACAGUCGAGGCAGCCCCUUAGGUGACUUAGGCCUGCCCCAUGGAGCAUCCUUGCAGGGGACUCCAACCAGCCUGAGUGACAUGGAUCCUGACAGCACUCCCAGUUUCCAUGAUUAUAGAGAGAUUUUUCAUCUGGAACAGUGGAGGUGGCCUUUGACAGUGCAGAGGAGUGAGAGUGGACAACACAGUACAUCACAAUGGAAUUCUGUUCGCCUACUUCUGUGAUUUCAUACACGGCA
rnacentral:lncRNA from 10 species